CCCUAUGGGGUGCAGCAGGCGACGGAUGAAGGGCAUGUGUGUGUCCCGAGGCACUGGCUCAUGGAAAAGUCUUGUGAGCUCUUGCAGAUCGGGCCGGCGAUUCUUACUGAAGCACUCCAUCGUCUGGCUUCAGACUGCCGGCUGGUGCAGGAAGUGGUCCCGGUGGGUCUCAAGUCCGGGUUUGAGGAUGGCACGGCCGUUUACCUGAGGGGAUAUCAUAUCGCCGAGUCCCAGAUUGCUCAACGUUUGCUCUACCUGAAGGCCUUCAACCCGCUCCAGCGAAAAAUCGACCGCGAUGCAUCCCUCCAGUGGCUCCGCGAGAAGCUGCCCGUCAAGCUGGCUCCCCUCCAGGAGGUGGCUGUGCGGCAGUCUCUGUCGGACAGGGUGGUUGUCAUUACAGGAGGACCCGGUACGGGGAAAACGACGCUCAUUUUGGCGAUCCUCUCCAUCUACAGAAAGCUGGGAGAGC
rnacentral:rRNA from 1 species